AUUGAACGCUGGCGGCAGGCCUAACACAUGCCAGUCGAGCGGAUGAAGGGAGCUUGCUCCUGGAUUCAGCGGCGGACGGGUGAGUAAUGCCUAGGAAUCUGCCUUGUAGUGGGGGAUAACGUCCGGAAACGGGCGCUAAUACCGCAUACGUCCUGAGGGAGAAAGUGGGUGAUCUUCGGACCUCACGCUAUCAGAUGAGCCUAGGUCGGAUUAGCUAGUUGGUGGGGUAAAGGCCUACCAAGGCGACGAUCCGUAACUGGUCUGAGAGGAUGAUCAGUCACACUGGAACUGAGACACGGUCCAGACUCCUACGGGAGGCAGCAGUGGGGAAUAUUGGACAAUGGGCGAAAGCCUGAUCCAGCCAUGCCGCGUGUGUGAAGAAGGUCUUCGGAUUGUAAAGCACUUUAAGUUGGGAGGAAGGGCAGUAAGUUAAUACCUUGCUGUUUUGACGUUACCAACAGAAUAAGCACCGGCUAACUUCGUG
rnacentral:rRNA from 1 species